rnacentral:lncRNA from 1 species
UGGUUUGGCACGUUUCUCCACGAUGCAGAUGGAGAAGCUAUGUCCUAACUUUUGAGAGAAGGGAAGGAGAUAGGCAACCACAGAAAUGCAUCUCUGGAAUUCUGGUCAUAUCUGAACUGUUAGGGAAGAGAGUUGAUCUGGAACACAAGCGAACAUUUUGGUUGCCAAAUAUGUGGCAAUGGUUCCCUCCCCACUAAAACCUGCCUCACAGAGCUCAAUCUUGGAGCUGACAGGAGUUAUUUUGUAAGAAGUUUCUCCUGCCCACUUGCUGCGUGUUGUCACAUAGCCUAAGAUGGCCUAAUCAAGGUACUGAGGAGCAAGAGCAUCAUUUGGAGUAUAGCAGCCACAAUUGCAAAUGACGCAAUUAUGUCCAACACUUGAAAGGGGAAUUUUCGAGUGUGAAUGUCAUUUGCCACGACUUACUAUCUAGGUGGGCAUAAAGUUGUCUUCCUCAGAAGUUAUCCCCAUUCUAGAAUUUUUCUGCAGAUUCUGGUGGGUAGUUCUCACCUAUCACCUGCAUACUGGGAGGGGUUGGCAGAGCAGCUUUGUGGAGACUGCCAGCGGACCUCUGCAGGCUGGGAGUCAGCAGGGGCCUGCUGGGUCUUUCCCUCCUCCAUGUGGGGCCGUGGUGGGGGGCUGCCAGGGUUCCUCCCCAUGUGGGUGGGUACUGGGCCCGUCACUCUCAGCAGGAGGCCAGUUGAACACAUAGGAAUGAAACCUGCUGAAUUGGCUUCUCCAGAAGGGCCAGAAUAUUUUUUCAUUAAUCCUGUUCCUUGGCACCAAACUCCGAUUUCUUCUUCUUUCCCAUAGAGGCUCUUUUAUGAACUUACCUGAAAUUAAUAGCAAAUCUUUUGACUAGGGCAGCUUUUCUCUCAGCAACUUCCCUGUCCAAUGGGCAAAAUUACCAUCUACAUCAAGAGGUUCCAAACAGCAGAAUGAAAUACAGAACUGACCAAAGUCCAGGUAAUUUAGGGCACUGAUAUAUUUGACUUUAUUUUCGAAGUAGAGGAAAAGCUACCCAUCCCCCACCACCACACCUCGAGCCUCACCACAUGUACUGUUUUCAAACAGUGCAUGGAUGCUGCGUGACCUCUUUCUUGCUAGGCUCGUAUUUUAUUCCUUGCUGUCCUCAAGGAAACCCUAGCUUAUUAAUUGUUAAACAUGUUAAGAAACUGGGGAUUCAUUACACGCUGUUCUCAAUUCAGAAGGCUGAACAGCCAGAUGCCUGUCCUAUAUCCAGGAGGUUGAUAUUCAGUAAUGUAUCAUUAUAAUGUAGCUGGUGUAAUGAAGCUGAGGUCCUGGGUGUGAUUCCCAGGGUACCAGUUACCAUGGCUCUCUGGCUGCAGACGGUCCCUCUGUUCUGAUGCUCUGCUUCAAAUGGAUGAGUUGGUCAAAGUGAGACUGAAUGAGGGGCUGUGACCAGCACAUCAUCGAUACUUCAGGAACAAGAACUCACAGCAUGUCCCUUAGUGCUAGGAUGUGUGCCAGUUCCUUCUUUCAGCCACCCCUAGCCAGAGCUGAAUUCCUCCCACUCUGAAUGCCUUCCACCUUUUUCUGGUUUUCUGAAACUUACCACACUCCACUCGAGAUCCCAGUAAUUAGGGUCCACAGAUUGUCUUCCCCGCUGGGUUGUAAACGCCUUGAAGACAGAAACCCUAUUGAACACGUUUUUAUAUCUUUUCCAAUGCUCAUGCAUGCUCAGUCAAUAUUUGUUGAAAGAAUGGAUAGAAGGAUAGAUGGUUGGAAAAAUGGAUGGGUGAAUAAGGUGGGAGUAGUCUUUGCAGUUCUGUUGGCAAGUCGAGGAUGGGUAGUGCAGAGAUGUAAAAUACAGUGUCAUAGUCACGCCUGAUGAUCCUGCUACACCUUCCACAAAACUGAUUAAUCUAAUAACGCAGUGGACGUCGAUUACUCAUAACAUGCUGAUAAUGCAUGGAAUUUCCCUUCCCAACGACAGAACCAAAUCCUGGGAAAUAGUCAUGGCACAUCUAAAGCUUCUCCAGAAGACUGCUUCCAUUUUAGAGAAAAGAAACAGAAAACAGAGUGGUUGAAUUGUUCCACAUGACUUCAUGCAGUACCCGGUAGGAUCAGUGGAAUUAGCAGGUAUAUUAGUUAUCUGUUGCUGCAACAAAUUACCCUAAUAUUUAGCAGCUCCAACUAACAAACACAUAUUUUUGCAGUUUCCCUGGGUCAGGAAUUUGGAGGCACUUUCACUGGCUGCCUUCAUCCCAAAGUCUGUUUUAGGGCUGCCAUCAAGGUGUUAGCCAGGCCCAGCUCAGAAGGAUUUGUCCCAAGCUCAGUCACAGGGAAGGUGACAGAUCCCAAGUUCUCAGUGGCUCUUGGCCUUGGUUCCCACAUGGCAGCUCACAUGUGGCAGCUUGUUUCCUGCAGACUGAAGACUCCAAGAAGAGUGAGAGAGAGCAAGCAAGAUGGAAGUCACCAUCUUUUUGUCACCUAUCCUCAGAAGAGACACUCCAUCACAUUUGCCAUAGUGUACUUGAUAGAAGUGAGUCAGUAGGUCUGACCACACCUAAGGGAGAGGUUGGCAGAAACACCAGGAGGCAGGGAUCCUUGGGGACCAUCUCAGAUACUGUCCACCAUGGUGGACCCCCAAGAACUUACAGAAGGACCAUCUGUGAGCUGCCGCUUGCCUGCCUGUACAUAUAGUAUUGGUCGGAAUGUAAUGCCAAGUAAGAGAUGACAGAAGCCACCUGCCUCAAAAGUGAAAUCUGCUUUCUCCAUCUUGACAGUACACAAAGGUGGAUGUGGUUUCUUGCUAGAAAGUUCUGCCAACAACCGCUCACAUCCCAAGUGGCAUCUCAGCCUCGUACCUUCAUUGCCUCAACUCGCUUCAAUAGAUGGCUGUGGAUUUCUGGGAAAUUCCAACACACAUAGAGGCUUGCUGAGCAUCUGCAGUGAACCCCUCAGACUAGGACCCUGUGAGUAGGCAGGACCACUUUCCCAAUGGGAUCAGCGAUCAAAACGCUGAGUGUGGGGGUGGAGGAAGGAAAAAUCCUCCCUGACGGUUGGUGAGGAUGAAACUCCAUUCUGAAGCCUUGUCUCUUGUGUUGGAAAUGAAUGCUUUGAAUUGACUCAAGUCCCCUAGGAAUUUAUUCCUUUGUGUCUCUUAAAGCGAGGCUUUCAGGAUAGACAUAAUCAAAAAGAUGCAGUAUAGUGGACGAGAGGCAGAGGGUAUUUUUAAGCCCCUUUGGCUUCCAAUGGUCAUUUGCCCUGAAAGUCCACGGUUACUGCCAAAUCUCCUUAACUCCUUAAGCAAGAUAAUGACAUUUUAUUAAAGAGCAAUUGCUAGAUUAUUAGCCAGCGGGCUUAAAACCCUGAAGUGUCAUCAUUCUCCCGCUUCCCUUGGCUCAGAUCAACAUAGUUUCAGCUGCUUCUGAGAUGUGAAGUUCAGAGCCAGCGGUUCUCGCCAUCUCCUUUCAGAAUUAACCAAUAAAUUAGAAUAACUAAGUGAGAAAGGGUUAGACAAAGGCACUGUCAAAACCAGAGGCCAGGGUCUGGGUCAUUUUGAAUAUGAAACGAAGCAUGGUUUAUGUUUGGUAUUUUAUAGGUUUUAAAACAAAGCUAAAGUAUAGCAUUAAGGAUCAAGGUCAGGGUGUUAUCUUUUGUGGGGUGAACGGGGUGGGGGUGGCGGGGUCACAGCUCAUGCCAGCAACGCAGCCCCUCCUUUCUCCGUAACAUUUAUUUUCCCGGGCUUCUGUCUAAUUAAUAUAAGGCCUUGCUCGAGCACACUGGCCCUCAUUGGGCCUGUCACUCGUUAAUCAAGCGACCCUUCUAGCCUUGGGUAAUGACCUUGAAAGAAUAUAUCAGCCCAUGAUGGCGGAAGUGAGGAAUUAAAUUGUUUCUCUGAGUGCUUAUGGUCAUUGCUGACAAUUUAUAUCUCACAGCUGCCCUGGGCUGGCCAUACUGGCCAUUGUGCGGCAAUCAUUUUCCUGGCCGGGAAUGGAUUGUGGGCCGGACAGGGACCAAGCUGGCCUCCUGUACAUCUCCAUCUUUAUGUUAUUUCCCCUCCCUGCUCCCCCCUUCUUUAAGCACGUCUUUGUUUGAGCGGCAGGGAUUGUACAAAGUUAAAAGCUUUGUCAUUAAGGCCACCAAGAGCCAAAAGCUGGGGUAAAUCCUGUGUCUGCCUGUCCCCGGCUUUGUCUCCAAGCCCACUGCUUUCGCCUCUGCUGAUGUCAGGCUACAAAGGGAAGUGUCUUGAGAAUUAUGUUGGCUCGAAACUCAUAAGAGAAAAAUUACUGGAAAUAUUAAAAGGCUGUAAAGGGUGUAUUGUAUACAAGUGAUUAAGCCUGAACCCUUUCUGGGUCUUUCUAGGAGGUCAGGGAGAUAUUGGCUGCUGGUCCUAAGGGGGAUUGGCAAGGAUAGGGACUUGCAUCCUUUUGCCUUUUAUGGUGCUCUAUUUAGACUUAGUGGUACCUUGGGGUCUGCCGGUGUGUGGCAAACAUCAUACCCUCAUACCAAGAUAAAUGUUAUCUGCACCUGAAAUUAAGCCUUGUACAUCUACUCACAGUCUGUAUACCCCGUUCCCCUCUUCUGUUUGUUCUCCUUGAAACUAAGUGAGUCUUAAGAGCUCUUUUCCCGUGAGAAAGUCUUUUUCCUUGUUUUACUGCACCAGCAGUUGGGUUUCCGAAAGAACUGAGAGGAAGAUUUUUUUCCUCCCUGUUAGCUAAAAUUCAACAAAUAAACAGUAUGCCUUUGCAGAGCUCAAGCUGCAAUGACUGGAUUUUGUGUGCGAAGCUUUAUGAACGCCAUGGCCUAGCUCUGGGUUGUCCUGGGUUUUCUCUUGUGUAAAGACGUUUGCUAGUUAUCACGAAACGGAUGCACUAAAACUUCAAAGACAAAGCACCAGCAGGGACCUCCAGCGGUGGGGAGAGAGUUAAGUGUAUGUUAAACCUAAAUCCUGAGUCCUUCCUUGCACUGGGUCCAGGAUUGGCGACUGCAUCUGUUUUUCCGUAUUGGACCAUGCCUUUCAUACACGGGAAAAAUUCUCGUGGGGUCCAGGUGGUCUGAGAGAUUCUUUUGGUCACAGCUCACUCCCAAACUUGGGGAGCAUUCUUAUGGGACCAUAUCAUGUAGAGUGGGAGGUGGAAGAGGGGGCAGGAUGAGGAGAGGUCUCGUCUAAUUGCCCAAACACUGGGCCUCUGUGGAAAUGGGACAUAUAUUCCUGCUACCCUCAGCCUGUCUGGAGAAAGCCUGGAAAAGGCAGGCUUCUGACAAUAUAAGUGGGCAUAAAGUCAGGUUAACAGAAUGCAAGCUGACCACAUGCACACUGAUCCUAACAAGAUUCAUAUCGAUGUUUGACUUGGAAGGGGUGAGCCCAUGGAAUACAAAGGCCGCAUCAUUUUAAUCCAUUUUAGUCUUUGGAUUCUUUUUUUUUUCUUUACCUUUUUACAGCCCCACCUGAGGCAUAUGGAAGUUCCCAGGCUAGGGGCUAAAUUGGAGCUGCAGCUGCCAGCCUACACCACAACCACAGUGACACCAGAUCCAAGCCACAUCUGUGACCUACACCAUAGCUCAUGGCAACCCCAAAUCCUUAACUCACUGAGAGAGGCCAGGGAUCGAAUCCACUGAGUCACAACAGGAACUCCCUAUUCUUUGGAUUCUUUACUCCAGUGGUGGCUUUCAAAUAGUAGGCACCGAAGAAAAAAGGAUUUGAGUGGUGGGAGUGAUCCAUCCAUCAAAACAUCUGGGUUAAGCUGGUUCUUCAGCUCUUAGGGAAAUGGGACAAAACUAAGAGUCAUGAAAGUGAUUCUUACCCCUCCAUCUUCCUGUUUUCCAUUACAUGCACAUAUGCUAAUAGAAAAGGCAUAACAUUGAAAGAGGCCUCCCUCCCAGUCCUGAGGCCACCACUCACCGGAGCAUCAACUUUGCAAGAGUCAUCCCUUCUCCAGGGGCAUCAGAGUCUCCGAGUCUUCUAUAAAAGCAUUGGACUGGCUCAUCUCAAGGGUUUUUCCAACAUGACAUUUCUAGGAUUCUCCAGGAUGGCCGUCAUGUUGUAGAGGAGACAGCCCAGUCGCAGGAGGAGAAUGUUAGUAUGUAAAAGAAGCGACCAGGGUCAGCUAUGUGCCUUGAAUGUGGAUGGUGCCCCUGAUGUAGCUGCAACUGGUUUGUGAAAGGAGUUAUACAGUGAAAACCCACAUUGUUCAAAUCCACGUUCGCACUCAGCCCACUGUCUUUCCCUGGCUCAGACAUUCAUGCCAACUACUCCCUGUGGCUUCUGGCACAAGCAGAACUGCCAGGACGUCAUUUUUUUUUUUUUUCAAUAUAUAAUUCUAGCAAUGCUAUUUACCCCAAGAGUUUACAAACUGAAACGAUGGAGAUUUUGAAAGCUUCAUUUGCUCUUUUACCUAAAUUCUCAAAACCAAUCCAUCAUCUGCUUUUAGGCUACCCAUGAGUUGGCUAGAUUCUUAUUUAACCAUCUGUGCUUCUGUGUUUUCCAUGACGGAAGUCUUAAUUGCUCCAUUUAAAUAUUAUAGGUUGGUGUGCUUGUUUUGAUAAAGGAGAGAGUUUAUUUGAGGCAAGAGUAUCUUCUUUGUGAGGAGCGUAUGAGAGGCAAGGCAAAGUCAAGGAACAGAAACUUCAGGAAGUGGUGAAAGAGAAAACUUACCCAUCUCCUAACUUACAUUUUUGUCAUCCCUUCUUUCAGAAUAUAC